AUCCCGCUCCCUCUCCUUCCUUCCUCCUUUCCAGCCACAGUCCAGUGGUUUUAGCUGGCUGCAGUCUUCUUCUCACUGCCUCACUUCAGCAUGGAUCUUUCUGGCUGAUUCCUGCCCCGAUACCACGACAUCUCCGAUGCCAGCAGCUGUAGCUCUACAUAAAGCUCCAGUGGGUCUGACUUCCUCUUCUGGCUUCCACGGGCACUUGGACUCAUUCAUACAUACCCCCAUGCAGACACAUAGGACCAGGGUUCAGUUCCCAGCACCCAAAUGACAGCUCACAACCCUCAUUAACCCAGUUCCAGGGGAUGUGACACUCUUCUUGGUGAGGGCCAGAUUGACCGAGGCUUUUCCUGAGACCCUGAUGUAUGGAGAAGGAACAUAGCUCUUCUGAAAACCAGGAACAUGCUUGGCAAGGCAAGUAAUGGCCUGAAGCCAGGGCCUUGGGGGAGCUGAAGCUUCAGAUCCUGAGAACCCAACUCUUCCCACCCCACCGUGUGGGGCUAUGGUUAUCAGUCUGAGGGGUUCCGUGAGCUUGGUCUGUAAUGUUCUUGAGAUACCCUAUGUUCCCCUUACACAACACUGUUCCAUUAGCUUCCCUCUGACUUACU